rnacentral:lncRNA from 1 species
CUCCAAUUUUAAUGAUAAUUGGUCAGAAUAUUUUUUUCCAUGAAUUCACUAGGUCAAACAUGUUUACACUGUUAUGGUGUAUUAUGGUGUGUUUCUCAGGUGAGCGACCUAGGGCCAUCUUGGCCCUCUUGUAGACAUUUUCAAUUAAUCCAGAUAUGAUGAUUCAAAACUGUGAGCCUCAUUUUAAACAAUUCAAUUGGUAAUUAGAAUAAGCUAAAAGGAUGGCCAUUUUAAACAGACUGUGCUUUU